GACGAACGCUGGCGGCGUGCUUAACACAUGCCAGUCGAACGGAAAGGCCCUGCUUGCCGGGUACUCGAGUGGCGAACGGGGGAGUAACACGUGGGUGAUCUGCCCUGCACUUCGGGAUAAGCCUGGGGAACUGGGUCUAAUACCGGAUAGGAGCCAUCUUGAGGGUGAGGGUGGGAAAGUUUUUUCGGUGUAGGAUGAGCUCGCGGCCUAUCAGCUUGUUGGUGGGGUAGUGGCCUACUAAGGCGGCGACGGGUAGCCGGCCUGAGAGGGUGGACGGCCACAUUGGGACUGUGUUACGGCCCAGACUCCUACGGGGGGCAGCAGUGGGGAAUAUUGCACAAUGGGCGCAAGCCUGAUGCAGCGACGCCGCGUGGGGGAUGACGGCCUUCGGGUUGUAAACUCCUUUCGCUAGGGACGAAGCUUUUUGUGACGGUACCUAGAGAAGAAGCACCGGCUAACUACGUG
rnacentral:rRNA from 1 species